GGACUGCCUUUUGCAUAAUGAGCCUGCGAGUUGUGGUGUCUGGCAAGGUUAAGCAAACGCGAAGCCGUAGCGAAAGCGAGUCUGAAUAGGGCGCUUAGUCAGAUGCUGCAGACCCGAAACGAAGUGAUCUAUCCAUGAGCAAGUUGAAGCUAGUGUAAGAACUAGUGGAGGACUGAACCCAUAGGCGUUGAAAAGCCCCGGGAUGACUUGUGGAUAGGGGUGAAAGGCCAAUCAAACUUCGUGAUAGCUGGUUCUCUCCGAAAUAUAUUUAGGUAUAGCGUUGUGUCGUAAUAUAAGGGGGUAGAGCACUGAAUGGGCUAGGGCAUACACCAAUGUACCAAACCCUAUCAAACUCCGAAUACCUUAUAUGUAAUCACAGCAGUCAGGCGGCGAGUGAUAAAAUCCGUCGUCAAGAGGGAAACAACCCAGACUACCAGCUAAGGUCCCUAAAUCUUACUUAAGUGGAAAACGAUGUGAAGUUACUUAAACAACCAGGAGGUUGGCUUAGAAGCAGCCAUCCUUUAAAGAAAGCGUAAUAGCUCACUGGUCUAGUGAUUUUGCGCGGAAAAUAUAACGGGGCUAAAGUAAGUACCGAAGCUGUAGACUUAGUUUACUAAGUGGUAGGAGAGCGUUCUAUUUGCGUCGAAGGUAUACCGGUAAGGAGUGCUGGAGCGAAUAGAAGUGAGCAUGCAGGCAUGAGUAGCGAUAAUUAAUGUGAGAAUCAUUAACGCCGUAAACCCAAGGUUUCCUACGCGAUGCUCGUCAUCGUAGGGUUAGUCGGGUCCUAAGUCGAGUCCGAAAGGGGUAGACGAUGGCAAAUUGGUUAAUAUUCCAAUACCAACAUUAGUGUGCGAUGGAAGGACGCUUAGGGCUAAGGGGGCUAGCGGAUGGAAGUGCUAGU
rnacentral:rRNA from 1 species